rnacentral:rRNA from 1 species
AUAUCCCUACGGGGGGCAGCAGUAGGGAAUCUUCCACAAUGGGCGAAAGCCUGAUGGAGUAACGCCGCGUGGGUGAAGAAGGUCUUCGGAUCGUAAAACCCUGUUGUUAGAGAAGAAAGUGCGUGAGAGUAACUGUUCACAUUUCGACGGUAUCUAACCAGAAAGCCACGGCUAACUACGUGCCAGCAGCCGCGGUAAUACGUAGGUGGCAAGCGUUAUCCGGAUUUAUUGGGCGUAAAGGGAACGCAGGCGGUCUUUUAAGGCUGAUGUGAAAGCCUUCGGCUUAACCGGCGUAGUGCAUUGGG